rnacentral:pre_miRNA from 15 species
CCAUGUUAUGUCCAUUUGUCUUAUCCAAAUUUUGAAAUGAGUAAUCAUUCAUUUCUCAUUUCAAAAUUUGGAUCAGACAAAUGGUCAUAACAUGGU